rnacentral:rRNA from 1 species
AUUGAACGCUGGCGGAAUGCUUUACACAUGCAAGUCGAACGGUAGAGGGGGCAACCCCUCGAGAGUGGCGAACGGGUGAGUAAUAUAUCGGAACGUGCCCAGUCGUGGGGGAUAACGUAGCGAAAGUUACACUAAUACCGCAUACGAUCUAAGGAUGAAAGCGGGGGAUCGCAAGACCUCGCGCGAUCGGAGCGGCCGAUAUCAGAUUAGGUAGUUGGUGGGGUAAAGGCUCACCAAGCCAACGAUCUGUAGCUGGUCUGAGAGGACGACCAGCCACACUGGAACUGAGACACGGUCCAGACUCCUACGGGAGGCAGCAGUGGGGAAUUUUGGACAAUGGACGCAAGUCUGAUCCAGCCAUUCCGCGGGCAGGAUGAAGGCCCUCGGGUUGUAAACUGCUUUUGUACGGAACGAAAAGGUCUCUCUUAAUACGGGGGGCUCAUGACGGUACCGUAAGAAUAAGCACCGGCUAACUACGUGCCAGCCGCCGCCGUAA